rnacentral:rRNA from 1 species
GGAAUAUUGGACAAUGGCUGAAAAGCUGAUCCAGCCAUCCCGCGUGAAGGCAGAAGGUCCUCUGGAUUGUAAACUUCUUUUCUCUGAGAAGAAAAUACGGGUUUCUACCUUUACUGACGGUACCAGAGGAAUAAGCACCGGCUAACUUCGUCCCAGCAGCCGCGGUAAUACGGAGGGUGCAAGCGUUAUCCGGAUUCACUGGGUUUAAAGGGUGCGUAGGCGGGCUUGUAAGUCAGUGGUGAAAGCCCGGGGCUCAACUCCGGAACUGCCAUUGAUACUGCAAGCCUCGAGUACAGCUGAGGUGGGCGGAAUACAUCAUGUAGAGGUGAAAUUCUUAGAUAUGAUGUAGAACACCGAUUGCGAAGGCAGCUCACUAAAGUGUAACUGACGCUGAGGCACGAAAGCGUGGGGAUCAA